rnacentral:rRNA from 1 species
GGAUUAGAUACCCUGGUAGUCCACCCCGUAAACGUUGGGAACUAGUUGUGGGGACCAUUCCACGGUUUCCGUGACGCAGCUAACGCAUUAAGUUCCCCGCCUGGGGAGUACGGCCGCAAGGCUAAAACUCAAAGGAAUUGACGGGGACCCGCACAAGCGGCGGAGCAUGCGGAUUAAUUCGAUGCAACGCGAAGAACCUUACCAAGGCUUGACAUACACCAGAACACCGUAGAAAUACGGGACUCUUUGGACACUGGUGAACAGGUGGUGCAUGGUUGUCGUCAGCUCGUGCUG